UAUUGGCGGGGGGAGGACACAACACUUUUGCCUCUGCACAUUUUAUUGUCUUCUCAAUGUGGGUGACCCAACACACUCAAACACUAGAAAACACAGCGCUAGCUCAUAAGCCACAGAAAACACGUCCGGUUGAAUCCCACACGAUUGUCAGAACAAAUCAAGAGGCUCCAUGCCCCUUCUGAAGCCCAAUACCUCAGGCUACGAAUGUGCGUGUGUGAGAGAACAAACCUGCAUGCUUCUGUGUGUUUUUCUAGUCUUGUUUGCUUCAACCUUAAAUGACAUCACCUUCUCCAUCUCUUCCUGAGCACUGCCGCCAGUGUCAGCUGUCAUCAUGACAUCAUCUUGCAUAUUAUAUUGUGUUUAAAAAAAUCAUAGUUUCAUAAUGACUCCUAAACCCGUAAGGAUAUCGAGUUAGCAGGCCGACAUUUAGGGGAGGGCCUCAUUUCAAAACCACCAAUAAUGUCACAGGGCUGUUUGGCUGCCUGGCUCCUCCCUCCUCUUCCUGUUUAACGCUCCCCGUCGGUGUUGAUGACAAGUCGCCUUCCGUUUGGAUGUUUUUAUCCAAUGUGGAUGCAACGUACAGCGCGUGCGAUUAUGUCUCGUGACCUGCGCAGGAAUGUGGACUUGUUGCCCUGCACUACACCAUAGUGCAUCAAUUAAUUAAUCAAUUAAUUAAUCAUUAAUUAAUCAAUAAAUAAACAGCAGCAGCAGCAACACAAUAUGACGGCUGUAUUUCACAAAGAUUUAUUCAAACAGGACACACAGGCUGGCGCCAUUUUAAUUGUAUUUUUGUAUGCAUGAAAAUUCAUUUCAUAUCCCUUUAAAAAAAAAAAAAAAACCCUCCAAAGAAAUUUGACUUGAGUUACAGUGUGUGACAUCAGAUUACCCAGUCUGCAUUAAUAUCUAUAAAAAGCCCUUAUAUACUGUAAGCUGAGUACUCAACACAUUUCACAGCAGACAAGUGGGACAGCAUACACACUGUAUAUACACAGUUAGUACAUAGCAAUCAAAGGCAACCUACUGCUACCUGGUACAGUUUAUCCUAAAAGUAUGACUUCAUAUUCUCCAUUGUUAUAAUUUUUUUUUUUGUUUUUUUGCAAAUACAAAUCUGAAUCCUCCUCCCACCUUUCAACUCUCGUGUUGUCCAAAGCACUUUGAUAGAAUGCAAUAUGUUAGCACAUCAAUUACAUGAGGGCGCGUGGAUCACACAAUGCCAAAAGAUCACAAGUUUCAAACGUAUGACAUCAUCUGGGGGGGCGAGAAGGGAACGUGAGCCGGGUUGGGAUGAACGUCGCGCAGCCAUGAGUCUAAAAUCUGGAAGCACUUCUAACUUUCAUUGGUCAGAUGAACAUGAAUAUAAAUACUUUGUUGUUGUCAUCGUUUCCAUUCUUGAAAAAGCAUAAUACAAAAAAAACCAAAAACUAAACAAAGCAACCAACAAAAACAGACGGAAACCCAAAAAAAAGAAACCAUUGAACCAGACACCGUAAUCUACAUUUUGCUAGGGAAUCGUUUCGCCCAAGUAUGUCUACCAGGUUGCAUUCGUGAAAACCUGCGGUAGAAUACUUUGCGUUUGUUUCUUCUAGAGAGAUUUACAAACAGUCAGUUGGCGCCGAGCUGAGCCGCGUCGCCACCGUUUCAGUUACUUAUUAGCGCGAAUUACGCUCGAAGAUGAUGAUGAUGAUGAUCCAAAAGUUUUGGAUGUCAAAGCAUCAGUCGGGCGUCCUCGUGUUUUUUUCCUCCCCCUUUUUCAAGGCUUUCGGUCCUGCUUUUGCCCACCACCGCUCUGUGGACAAUCUACAGAAGAUAUCAUUUAGUAUUGCACUUCUCUCUCGUGCAAAUAUUUACACGGUCUUGUCCAUCUCAGGCCUUUAUAGCGGCCCGUCCAACAUUGAAGAUGGG